rnacentral:rRNA from 1 species
CCUACGGGAGGCAGCAGUGGGGAAUAUUGGACAAUGGGCGAAAGCCUGAUCCAGCAAUGCCGCGUGAGUGAUGAAGGCCUUAGGGUUGUAAAGCUCUUUUACCCGGGAUGAUAAUGACAGUACCGGGAGAAUAAGCUCCGGCUAACUCCGUGCCAGCAGCCGCGGUAAUACGGAGGGAGCUAGCGUUAUUCGGAAUUACU